UAGGGAAUCUUCGGCAAUGGGGGGAACCCUGACCGAGCAACGCCGCGUGAGUGAAGAAGGUUUUCGGAUCGUAAAGCUCUGUUGUUAAGGAAGAACGAGUGUGAGAAUGGAAAGUUCAUACUGUGACGGUACUUAACCAGAAAGGGACGGCUAACUACGUGCCAGCAGCCGCGGUAAUACGUAGGUCCCGAGCGUUGUCUGGAUUUAUUGGGCGUAAAGCGAGCGCAGGCGGUUAGAUAAGUCUGAAGUUAAAGGCAGUGGCUCAACCAUUGUAGGCUUUGGAAACUGUUUAACUUGAGUGCAGAAGGGGAGAGUGGAAUUCCAUGUGUAGCGGUGAAAUGCGUAGAUAUAUGGAGGAACACCGGUGGCGAAAGCGGCUCUCUGGUCUGUAACUGACGCUGAGGCUCGAAAGCGUGGGGAGCGAACAGG
rnacentral:rRNA from 1 species